AACGAACGCUGGCGGCAUGCCUAACACAUGCAAGUCGAACGAGAUCUUCGGGUCUAGUGGCGCACGGGUGCGUAACGCGUGGGAAUCUGCCCUUUGGUUCGGAAUAACAGUUGGAAACGACUGCUAAUACCGGAUGAUGACGAAAGUCCAAAGAUUUAUCGCCAGAGGAUGAGCCCGCGUAGGAUUAGCUAGUUGGUGUGGUAAAGGCGCACCAAGGCGACGAACCUUAGCUGGUCUGAGAGGAUGAUCAGCCACACUGGGACUGAGACACGGCCCAGACUCCUACGGGAGGCAGCAGUGGGGAAUAUUGGACAAUGGGCGAAAGCCUGAUCCAGCAAUGCCGCGUGAGUGAUGAAGGCCUUAGGGUUGUAAAGCUCUUUUACCCGGGAUGAUAAUGACAGUACCGGGAGAAUAAGCUCCGGCUAACUCCGUGCCAGCCGCCGCAGUAAAAC
rnacentral:rRNA from 1 species